CGCCUCUUGCAAAUCAAAGCAUAAGAGGUCCCGCCUGCCCUGUGACUAUGGGUUUAACGGCCGCGGUAUUUUGACCGUGCGAAGGUAGCGCAAUCACUUGUCUUUUAAAUGAAGACCUGUAUGAAUGGCAUCACGAGGGCUUAGCUGUCUCCUCUUCCAAGUCAGUGAAAUUGAUCUGCCCGUGCAGAAGCGGGCAUAAGUACAUAAGACGAGAAGACCCUAUGGAGCUUUAGACACCAGGCAGAUCACGUCAAGCAACCUUGAGUUAACAAGUAAAAACGCAGUGACCCCUAGCCCAUAUGUCUUUGGUUGGGGCGACCGCGGGGGAAAACAAAGCCCCCAUGUGGACUGGGGGCACUGCCCCCACAGCAGAGAGCUACAGCUCUAAGCACCAGAAUUUCUGACCAAAAAUGAUCCGGCGAACGCCGAUCAACGGACCGAGUUACCCUAGGGAUAACAGCGCAAUCCUCUCCCAGAGUCCCUAUCGACGAGGGGGUUUACGACCUCGAUGUUGGAUCAGGACAUCCUAAUGGUGCAGCCGCUAUUAAGGGUUCGUUUGUUCAACGAUUAAAGUCCU
rnacentral:rRNA from 1 species